CUUGUCUUUGUCGGGUCAUUGCAUGCUGUCUCCUGUUGUUGCUGUGAGGUCUCCUGUUGUAUGUCGUGUUACCCUGCUUCUUUUGGAUAUCUUUUGGACCUGACCUCAUCACCAGCCACGCAACCGCCUCUCCUAUCCGCCUCCCGGUCUCCGCCUCGCCAACCCUCGGCAUCCGCAGUUUUGCCUUGCCACCGCCACUUUCCCCAACUCCCAAGUCCACCUUGCCCGCAACACCUGUCCUUGUCCUGCACUUGUGUUCCCAGUCCCUGGUUUACGCAACAAACCAUAUCAUAAUGUUUAUGAUUGCAAUGAAAAUUUAUUAUUUUUGUACUGAAAUCUUCAAAGGAUAAAACAUUUCCAUAGUUGUCCAGUAAA